CCCUUAGAUGUUCUGGGCCGCACGCGCGCUACACUGAUGCAUUCAACGAGUUUCUUCCUGGUCCGAGAGGAAUGGGUAACCUUUUGAAAGUGCAUCGUGAUAGGGAUAGACUAUUGCAAUUAUUGGUCUUCAACGAGGAAUUCCUAGUAGACGUAGUUCAUCAGACUGCAUCGAUUACGUCCCUGCCCUUUGUACACACCGCCCGUCGCUCCUACCGAUUGAAUGGUCCGGUGAAGCGUUUGGACUAUGGUUUUCUGAUGGUCCGCCGUUGGAUUACCGUGGGAAGUUCGUUAAACCUUAUCAUUUAGAGGAAGGAGAAGUCGUAACA
rnacentral:rRNA from 1 species